rnacentral:lncRNA from 1 species
GUGAGGAUAAUUGGGAGAAACCAUCUAGAGUUUCUCUCCAAGAACCUCGAUUCAAUCCCUCCGUUUCUUGGUGGAAGCUGCUCGUGUUCAAAAUGCUCGGACUGGAGCAAUGUGGAGGGUAUAUCUGAUGAAGUCACAUUAGCAGAACCAACACCUGAUCGUGUGGACAGAUCUGAUGAGGUCUCUCAGAUAGAACCACUCAAAAUGCUCAGACUGGAGCAAUGUGGAGGGUAUAUCUGAUGAAGUCACAUUGGCAGAACCAACACCUGAUCGUGUGGACAGAUCUGAUGAGGUCUCUCAGACAGAACCAACACCUGAUCAUGUGAAUAAAUCUGAUGAGGUCACUUGGACAGAACCAGCACCUGAUCAUGUGAACAAAAGCCCUGAGCUUGAUCAUAUAUGCUC